rnacentral:rRNA from 1 species
AUUGAACGCUGGCGGCAUGCUUUACACAUGCAAGUCGAACGGGGUGGUGGGGCAACCCGCCAUUCAGUGGCGAACGGGUGAGUAAUGCAUCGGAACGUGUCCCGUAGUGGGGGAUAACCCGGCGAAAGCCGGACUAAUACCGCAUAUGCUCUACGGAGGAAAGCGGGGGACCUGAAAGGGCCUCGCGCUAUGGGAGCGGCCGAUGUCCGAUUAGCUUGUUGGUGGGGUAAUGGCCUACCAAGGCGACGAUCGGUAGCUGGUCUGAGAGGAUGAUCAGCCACACUGGGACUGAGACACGGCCCAGACUCCUACGGGAGGCAGCAGUGGGGAAUUUUGGACAAUGGGGGCAACCCUGAUCCAGCCAUGCCGCGUGC